GCCAGAUCAUCGGGAAAAGAGAAGCUGGAAUGGACAGUGCCAGAGAAAGCAUGAGUCCCCGAGGAUUCUUCUGCUGCAAUGGCUACAGAAAUAACACUGCUUUAGGACCUGAUACCCAGAAGCUAAAAUCCCUUUAAGCCACAGUCAUUUGGAUGACCUCUGCGUCAGCUGAUGGAGGAAUCCAAAGGGUGUGCUGAUUCAGAGUGGAUUAAACAACCACAGCAAUGAUGAAUUCCCUCAACAAGUAAUAAGGAUGCUUUCCAACAGAAACAUUCCUUCACAAUUACCAUCGCUGUCCAGUUGAAACCACACUGCAGUCCAGAAAAGUUUCACUGAGUUCAUCAGUAUUACUCUUCAAACACCUCGCAUUCCCCAUGAUGAUCGUUGGAACAGCCCCGGCUCUGAAAGCCCCAGCAGCUCCUCU